CCCAGGUUUAAAACACAUUCUGCUGGGGCAGAAGGCGUUAACGUGUAUCUAGAUGCAGAAACCUUUUCCCCUUUGAACGCCGAGGCAAAUCCGGGGAUUUUAGGCGCGGAAGGAAACCUCUUUACUCAGCCGCUCUGGGCAGCCUACCGGGCUCCGAAACUCCCGAGGCAAAGCCGGAAGAACCUCUCCUUCCCUCCGUCCCACGGAAGGAGCUCCGACUAGGGGAAAGUCCUGAAGGGAGAAAUCUCCAAGGCAACGAGGAAUUUCAAACGGCCGAGGCUAUCCAGAUCAGCAUCGGCAUCUUUCAGUUGUUCUUGGGGAUCCUGUGGUUCUACCUCUACCUGACCCAGUUUGCAGACUCUUUUCUCACUUACAAGACCUUAAUUUGGAAUGCGAAAUACCCAUUAUUAUCAGCGUUUAUCGCAAAGAUCACAGUGGGGAUAAACAUCAUGGGCAUCAUCUAUUCCGUCUAG
rnacentral:lncRNA from 1 species